CAAUAGCGUAUAUUAAAGUUGUUGCAGUUAAAAAGCUCGUAGUUGGACCUUGGGCCUGGACGGGCGGUCCGCCUCACGGCGUGUACUGUCUUGCCGGGCCUUUCCUCUUGGUGAUCUGUUGUUUCGGCAGCAGGGAACCAGGACCUUUACUGUGAAUAAAUUAGAGUGUUCAAAGCAGGCUUACGCCGUUGAAUAUGCUAGCAUGGAAUAAUAAGAUAGGACCUUGGUACUAUUUUGUUGGUUUGCGCACCGAGGUAAUGAUUAAUAGGGACAGUUGGGGGUAUUCGUAUUGCAUUGUCAGAGGUGAAAUUCUUGGAUUUUUGCAAGACGAACGACUGCGAAAGCAUUUACCAAGGAUGUUUUCAUUAA
rnacentral:rRNA from 1 species